rnacentral:lncRNA from 1 species
UAUAUAAAACAUAUCAAUAUUACAAAAAGAAUCUUGACAAAUCAAAGGAUGAUAAAAAAGAAAAACGAAUUGUAAACGAUCUGAUUUAUUCUACAAACAAAAAUAAAAAGCACUACAAAAUUGUCAAAGUAACUACAUAACUCGAAAAGUUUACAUUUUACUAGACGUAAUUCUUAUAAAAUUACAAGAUGUGAAUUUCAAAAACUUAAACCAUGAAACAAACAAGAAAACUAAACUAAACCCUAGCAAAAGCAAGAAAGCAAUCUUAAUGUACUUAUUCUACUAGAAACCCUAAUAAAAAUACCAAAAUAACCUAACAAAAUUACUGAUAAUAAACCAAAUUUACUAACUUGCUAACAUUUGCUUCACCAAAAACUAUAUUUGUAGUACUCAUAGUUUAAUAUUUAGCAACAGUUUUAGUUUCUUCUUCAUUUUGUGUGGAGCAAAAUUUGAGAUUAAGAAGGGGCAUGCAUAUUUAUAAUUAGUAAGUCUGAAUAGUUAGUAAGAUACUAGAGUUUGCUAUAUCUAUACACGUACAUAACAGUAAUCUUCAGUCAUGCGGCUCCUAAAAUUGUGGUCUGCAAGCUAUCGUCUGUUUACAGUAUACCAGUUGGGAUAUAUAUAUAUAUAUAUAUAUAUAUA